UGGAAGACUCCAGAAUCCACUCUGGCUGGAAUCCGGUGGAUACAGCAGUGUUACAGAACAGUUCUCCACAGUCGCUGUCUACAUGGGUCAGUGGGACCAAGCAGCACUCUGCUAAUGUGUGGACUCUGACCAGCAACAUCCAGCAAGACCCAGGCAGCGUUUUCUAUCUCCCAGCUGGAGUUUUUUUGUUUGUCUGUGACUGGAGAGUCAGAUUUUUGUUGAGCCUCACACUUGCAGAGUCUUUUUGCAGGAUCAGAAAACAAAACCAGGAGGCCUGUAAAUGUUUCUUCUCCAAUUGGAUGAUGAUAAGACUGUGACACGGGAUGCCACCUUUAGUCUUGUGAUGAAGCAAAGCUCAGGAAGAAGUGUGAUUAAAUGGUACCCACAUGUGUGCUGCUGAGAAGGAUGUACAGGGGCACCUGCAGCCAAAUCCAAGCCUCCUCAGCAACUUCAAGUCUGUCAACGUGCUGAGGUCACAGAAACAAGAAAAGCAGCUUCAGACUUCAGAGUGUUGUUUACAGUUUUCUGUCAUCAUGAUCUCCCCCGAAGUUUAUCACUAUUAGGCAAGCAAGCAGAGCGGCAGUUUGUGCUCACAGAUGGUGACGGUGUGGAGAGACGGUGGUGUUUCCUCAGAAGAACCAGCAGAGUCACAAAGGGCACCAGUCCUUCUCACCACCUUGACUUGCAGACUGAUGCUCGUCUGCACUGCACAGAGGAAAUCAACUGACCGAGGUUUGUCCAGUGCAGUGUUAUGAAAUGUGUAUUUGUUUUAUGCUUACAGAUAUGUUUUUCUUGACAGAGGCUCUGCAGAGGUUAGACAAAGAAAAUAUGUGCUUUACAUUUCACUGUGAUUUACUGGGAUAUUUGUUGCCUGAUGUUCAGCAGGAAUGGAGAAAUGGAAUCAAAGGGAGAUAUUUUUGAUGUUUUUGUAAUGAUGUAAGUAAAUCUCCAGUUUCUGAGUGAGGGAGAGAGAAGUCAUCAUCCAGGUAAAGUGACGUGGAUCAGUGGAUACACUUGUCUCUCCUUUAAAGAAGAUACUGUUAGAGAGAGACGAUCCGAGUCAUCCUUAAAUAUGGGCAGGAUAUCAGUCUUGGACUGUCUAACCUGCCGGAGCAGCACUGAAUGAUCACCACACAUGAGCAUGUUCCUGCAACAUUCAGCAGCUUUGCUUUUGCUGGAGAGGAAACUACACCAGUGUACUGGGAUGUUUCACCAACACGUGCCAGACGCUGUUCCUUCAUGGUUUCAUCACCAGAGACAGCCCCGCCCACCUCAGGACCUCGCCAUUGAUCAUGAUGAUUAUAAUAAUGACAGCGAGCGGAACUAAGACUGUAAAAAUCCACGACCAGAAUGUUUAGAUGCUUUCUAAUUAUUCAUGAAUACUGAGAGCUUCUUUCUGUGUUUUGUCUGGUUUGUUUUUUUUUACCUCAUUUGUUACUAACAAAGUUCACCAAACUCACUCAGUUUACAUUCUGUAUGUUUCCAUCUUUACCAGCCACACUCUUAACUGCAAUUAAGCAAAUAAUCCUUAGAAAUCAUCGUUUUUCUCUUUUGUAAUUGAUGAUAAUUCGGUGAAUAUACUGCGCUGCUUCCUUUUGUUUCGUCACACAUUGCUUUAAGUUUUUCAGUGUUCAGUUAUUUUUUACUGUUGUUUGAAUUCUCUGCAUGUUUGACCCUGUAGACUGUUUGAUGGACUGCUUGUCUUCCUGUUUGUAACCGCCGCCUGUUUUUGACUAAAGAUUUGGAUUU